rnacentral:rRNA from 1 species
UACGGGGGGGGCAAGCGUUGUUCGGAAUUACUGGGCGUAAAGGGCUCGUAGGCGGCCAACUAAGUCAGACGUGAAAUCCCUCGGCUUAACCGGGGAACUGCGUCUGAUACUGGAUGGCUUGAGUUUGGGAGAGGGAUGCGGAAUUCCAGGUGUAGCGGUGAAAUGCGUAGACAUCUGGAGGAACACCGGUGGCGAAGGCGGCAUCCUGGACCAAUACUGACACUGAGGAGCGAAAGCCAGGGGAGCAAACGGG